GACGAACGCUGGCGGCGUGCCUAAUACAUGCAAGUCGAGCGAGACUCUUCGGAGUCUAGCGGCGGACGGGUGAGUAACACGUGGGCAACCUGCCUGUAAGACUGGGAUAACACCGGGAAACCGGUGCUAAUACCGGAUAAUCCUUUUCCUAACAUGAGGGAAAGCUGAAAGACGGUUUCGGCUGUCACUUACAGAUGGGCCCGCGGCGCAUUAGCUAGUUGGUGAGGUAACGGCUCACCAAGGCAACGAUGCGUAGCCGACCUGAGAGGGUGAUCGGCCACACUGGGACUGAGACACGGCCCAGACUCCUACGGGAGGCAGCAGUAGGGAAUCUUCCGCAAUGGACGAAAGUCUGACGGAGCAACGCCGCGUGAGCGAUGAAGGCCUUCGGGUCGUAAAGCUCUGUUGUCAGGGAAGAACAAGUACCGGAGUAACGGCCGGUACCUUGACGGUACCUGACCAGAAAGCCACGGCUAACUACGUGCCAGCCGCCGCCGUAACAC
rnacentral:rRNA from 1 species